rnacentral:rRNA from 1 species
ACGGGAGCUUGCUCCUGGUGGCUAGUGGCGAACGGGUGAGUAAUGCGUCGGAACGUGCCGAGUAAUGGGGGAUAACGCAGCGAAAGUUGUGCUAAUACCGCAUACGCCCUGAGGGGGAAAGUGGGGGAUCGCAAGACCUCACGUUAUUCGAGCGGCCGACGUCUGAUUAGCUAGUUGGUGGGGUAAAGGCCCACCAAGGCGACGAUCAGUAGCGGGUCUGAGAGGAUGAUCCGACACACUGGGACUGAGACACGGCCCAGACUCCUACGGGAGGCAGCAGUGGGGAAUUUUGGACAAUGGGGGCAACCCUGAUCCAGCCAUUCCGCGUGAGUGAAGAAGGCCUUCGGGUUGUAAAGCUCUUUCAGCUGGAGUGAAACGGUGCGCUCUAACAUAGCGCGCUAAUGACGGUACCAGCAGAAGAAGCACCGGCUAACUACGUGCCUGCAGCCGCGGUAAUACGUAGGGUGCGAGCGUUAAUCGGAAUUACUGGGCGUAAAGCGUGCGCAGGCGGAUUGUUAAGCAAGAUGUGAAAUCCCCGGGCUUAACCUGGGAAUGGCAUUUUGAACUGGCAGUCUAGAGUGCGUCAGAGGGGGGUGGAAUUCCACGUGUAGCAGUGAAAUGCGUAGAGAUGUGGAGGAACACCGAUGGCGAAGGCAGCCCCCUGGGAUGACACUGACGCUCAUGUACGAAAGCGUGGGUAGCAAACAGGAUUAGAUACCCUGGUAGUCCACGCCCUAAACGAUGUCAACUGGUUGUUGGGGGAGUGAAAUCCCUUAGUAACGAAGCUAACGCGUGAAGUUGACCGCCUGGGGAGUACGGUCGCAAGAUUAAAACUCAAAGGAAUUGACGGGACCCGCACAAGCGGUGGAUGAUGUGGAUUAAUUCGAUGCAACGCGAAAACCCUUACCUACCAUUGACAUGUCCAGGAACCUGAAGAGAUUUGGGGUGCCUAAGAGGNAGUGUACACAGUCCNGAGUCAGCGUAGUGAUGCUAUGAUGUUUUGCCUUGUUCUUUUCUU